CCGCACGGGUGAGUAACGCGUAUGCAACUUGCCUAUCAGAGGGGAUAACCCGGCGAAAGUCGGACUAAUACCGCAUGAAGCAGGGAUCCCGCAUGGGAAUAUUUGCUAAAGAUUCAUCGCUGAUAGAUAGGCAUGCGUUCCAUUAGGCAGUUGGCGGGGUAACGGCCCACCAAACCGACGAUGGAUAGGGGUUCUGAGAGGAAGGUCCCCCACAUUGGUACUGAGACACGGACCAA
rnacentral:rRNA from 1 species